UGCAAUUUGUGCAUUUAAGUAAAAUGCAUAAAUGUUUGAACUGACAAAAUUUUAAUAUAAUUUGAAAAUUUUGUCAAACAACAAUUUCAACAAAAUCAACAAUUUUUUUUUCUCAGUGUACUAAUGUGGCUAUCGUUUGCUCAUUAAAUGUAACUCGACUUUUGCAAAGCUUUAAAUGCGAGAAACGUCAUCAGUUCUUAAAGUUUCGUCGAAUAUGUCUUACCAAUGAACGACAUCGAUUUCCGAAAUCGCGCACGGGGAUUAUCUUGCAAUUUUUUUUCUUUGUCGAGGCAUUAAUUUACAGGCGUAAAAAGAAAACAUGUUAUCAAUUUCAUUGUAGCAUAUUCAGAUAAAAGCAUAUGCGCUCUGUAAUAUAACGUAUGUAUAUAUAUGAGGAGCUCUUUUAAAUUAAUUGGAGAUAAAAAAAGAAAGAAAAGAUAGAUAAGCUGUAACUUGAAUUCGUAUGCCUGUAAAUGCCUAAAAAAAAUCGAGCCUAAAAGAAAUAAAUAACGCAAGUAAUGCCGCUUUACUGUAAUUGUACAGUUUUUAAAUGUAAGUCUAUAAAUUUCGUAACUCCACAAGGGACACUGCAGGUUCGCAUCCGAUAUUGUGCUCCAAAUAUAAAACUAAACCAAUUAUAAAUAUUAAAAUAAUCCUUUUGUGUUUUUAAAACUUAUUUUAAUUAUGUCGUUAUAAAUCUCGUUUCGCGAUGUCAUCUUUUAUGUCGCGCGAAAGAACUAAUUCUAAUAAUCGUAAUGAUUUAAUUAUUAACGUGAUUCUCGCAUUAUGAAACGUGUCGUGCUCACGCGAGAACAAACCUUUCGUACAGCAGUCUCAUGUAUCUACAUGGAGAAACAGAGUGAGUGGGAUGCGCGAAUCGUGCAGAAACUUAUCGCCUUUAUAGGUAAUGAUAAAGCAAAAAUUAUCAUAAGAUAAGUUUCAUAUAUGGAGGCAUGAAAGUGUAUUGUACGUAGUAUUAUAACGCGAGUUAAUUAUUAUUAAUGCAAAUAGGAUUGGUAAAAAAGAAGUUUGUUAUAUAUCGUUCUUUCUUUGCGAAAAAUAUCAAAAUUGUGUAAAAACGGAAAAAAAAGAUAAACCGUGCUCCAUUGAUAAUUUUCAUUUUUGUCCAGUAUGUAUAGGAGAUAGUUCCAGCUGGAGGUACAGCUUUCGAGAUAAGCGAGAAAAUCCGACAGAUAUUUAAUUGUAACGACGCAAGCGUUUGUCGCGCUAUAUCGAAGAGUAAUUCGGAAAAACAGAGGUACGAUUCGCAUUCGCUGCAGUUGAAAUAUUUGUCACGGACUUGACGAGUGUACGUCCCUAAGUGUCUCUUUGUUUCUCUUUUUUUUCCUUUUUUAAAGUAACUUCGCGAAAGAGACAUGUUUUUUAUAUUGACUGCGCCAGACGUCCACGCCUUUAGCUUUUUUUUUUCUUUAUCUUUUUUCCCCUAAUUAUCAUGUUUUACUUAUUCAGUUGCCAAUGUUGACGUUACAUUCCAAACGUGUAAUCGCGAGAACCGCCUUUCCACUCCUUGGACUGUCUCUGAGAGAACAUUCUUUUUUAAUCUCCCCUCCCAUUUGCUCCUCCCAGAUUCUCUUCCCUUCCCCAUAUAGCGUUGCUCGAAUGGAGCAAGAAUGUGCUGGAAUGCACGAUUUCUUUUCUUUUCUUUUUGUCCCUCAUUUCUCCUUUUAUUUUUAUUUUACAUACGCGCGCGCUUCUCGACACGCUGCACGCUCGCGAAUGAUCUCGCGAUACACCGGCUAUUACUUUGACUGAAUCACCCGAGUUGACCACAGCACACUCGCAUUGUCCUCUUACGCGAACAGUACUCUCUUUUUCCGAGCUACUCGACACGCGAGGAAACUAAAAAAAAACAAAAGAAAUUUAAAAAAGUAUAAAAAAAGAGGAAACAGAGUUAGGUGCUCCACUCGCCUUAAAUGCAAUUGAAUGCAGUCUCAGCCUGUGCCAUGUUGACCGGUUCAAAUGGCUAAAGUGAUAAGAGUUCGCGAAGACUAGUGCAAAUGUACUUGUGGAGAGAAGGACUAAAAGCGAGGAAAGAAAGAUAAAAGGAAGGGAAAGAAGAUAGGACCAUUUAAACAGUGUGUACAUAGCGAGUGUGGGGCGGCGGGGUUACGUCAACCCUCCCAACCCCCGUGUCGCACAUGUAGAGUAUACAUAAUUACUUAACAUUUCUUUUUCUUUUCUUCAUUCGAUGGACACGAAUACACACACACACGUACACGUGGGAAGAGCGCGGACAUUCAUUGCCGGACCGACCGGGAUCGACUUUUGCCUCCUCGAUCUCUGCAUCUCGCGCGAUCAGGAUCAGGCGAUUAACGACGAGACGACAACGACGAGGGAGGAGAGAAAGAGAAGGACAAGCGAACACAAAACAAAAGGAAAAAGGGGAAUGAAAAGCCAAGUUACACACGAAUACCCCGCGUGUUUUCUACUCGGAAAAGACGCACCGGAUGCCCUUUCAGUUUUUUUCGGAUACUUCUCCCUUGCUCCGUUCUGGCAUCAGCUGUCGUUAAUCGCUCGCUCGAGAACGAGAAAACGCGAGAUUCAUCUCCGGAUUUCCCGCGAUGUUCGUCGCAGCCGGAUCGUCGCGACUACUUCAAGAGAUAGUUACGCGCAACUGGCUGCCUCACCGGGACGGAGAACGCAGAACGAGGAGCAAAAGUACUCUCCCGACGGAGUCUCGAAAAGAAAUCGGAUUCGACGCUAGUCCUGCGCCGCUGUACAAUUUGUUACUCGAUAAUAACGAAAACAAAAAAAAAACGAUUCUCCUCGUAUUGUACAUACGACGCUGUAUGAUAUAAUAUUGUAUGAUUAUUACCAACGCUACCGGCAGAAUUAUUCAAUUAAGAUUACAGUUAAUGCCGCUAUUAUUAGUGAGAUAAUAAGUGAGCGGGAAUGAGUGAGCGUAAGCGUGUGUUGAACUGCGGAUCUUGCGUGUGCGCGUGAAAGGCUGUGCUGUCCAGCUGUAUAAACCUUAACGUUGCGAGCUGCGUGUGUUUGUUGCCAAAGUUCCCCCUUUCGCGAGCAUAUGAGAGAUACGGCGAUAUCUGAUUGUCGGGUCGUAUCGCAUCGAGGACGUGUUUCUUCGUCCUGGGGUGGUAAAUCGGAAGCUACGUUCGCCGCCCCUCCUCGAAACGGAAACGACUUCUCUCGGAAGAGUUGAAGCUACAUGAAGAGAGAAGGAGAAAAUUGCUCGCAAUCGUCCGCAAUUUGUCCGCUUGAUUUAAACGCUACGGCGAUAAUUCCGCAGCGUUUAGUUUCCUCUCUUUCUUCCCCUUUCUCCUCCUUCCCCUUGGAAACCGAGAGUUUUCAUUGACUCCGCGUGUAAAUCUGCCUUGACAGAUCGCCCAGGAGUACGAUAACUCUCCGUCGUCGAACGUUAUCGCAGAGCUAUUUGAAGAGGGGCGACUUUCUUCUGAGACUCCCUUUUAUAAGGAGAAUUAAUUAACGUUCCAUUAGGAUGUUAAUAUUAAGACGUCGAAACCGUCUGGACGCGUCGACCCGAACAACACAGCGUAAUAUCGUCUGCGCACUAUAUUUUUCCGUUAAACGACGACAGAUUAUUGAAGCACCGCCGUACGAGAGGGAAAAUUGUCGAGAAAGAGAGAAUGAGUGUGCGUGUGUGUGUGAAAAUCCGAAGGGAUUAUUACGAAGGAAGCGAAGAGAUAUAUCACGAUUUAUUCUCAGGUGAUGUAUUCACACACACGGUACACGUGUGGCUUACUAUUUUGUUACUAACUUGUCAGAUGUAAUGUCGAGCUAUUAUGGACCACGGAUGCGCGAAGGGUCGUUCGGAAUCGUUGCCAUGGAAUAUGAAAGAAUAUGCCGAAGUAUGUAUGAAUGAGAGUUGCAGAGAGAGAAAGAGGAAGAAUAUGAGGGAGAGAGAAAACAAAGGAAUGGAUAAGUGUUCGCUACUUCUGCACGAGAGAGAGGGAGAGAGAGAGAGAGACCGAGGCCCCUUCCCUGGAUGUAUUCUAAGAGAGGAAAGCAUGUAGUGUUUGUCAUUUGGCCUUUAUGCUGUCUUACUUGCGAUUUCGUACAAGCUUUGCGUGCAAUACUGUGAUAAAAGAAAAAAGAAUGAGUCGUUCUCUAUUUCUCUUCGUCCUUUCUCCUUUUUGAAGCGCAUGCACGUACAAUGUGUGAAAGACCGGCGCACGUAUGUAUAAAAUAUAUAUACAUAUAUAUGUCGGGAUAUAUGGGGUCGCCUGUUUUCAACCCGGUCCCUUAAAGCGAAUCGCAAAUAUUAUAUCCAUUUAAUUCCGCGUAAUUUGUUUCCGGUACAUGCGUGCACUUUUUCCGAAUUUGGGCCGGUACGAACUUUACAAUCGAUUUAUCGUGGCCUAUUUAUCGUGGCUCUUCUUUCUGCAGCGAAAUUAUUUUCGCUCUUGCAGUCUUCAUCGCGAAAAUAAUUAGUUUAAGAUUAUAUUGGCUAGACACAGUUAACUUUUGACAGUCCGUGACUGUCGGAUAAUCGCAUAAUUUUUACGGACAUCCGGGCGCAUUAGCUUCGUACUGCCAUCGCAUUGACACAUUUGUUCCUAAUUGUUGCAUCGCAAGUUUAAUAUAUAAGUUUAUAUUAUUGUUUGUUAUACAUAGAUAUAUUUUGAGUAAAGCGACGUUAGUUAUUAAAAGCGUGUCCUGAGAUAAAUAUAAUCUCAGUUCCAUAGACAGAGGAUGAUACUUAUUGUCUCUUUCAUAUUUUAUGUAAACUUCCGAAAAAUGACUAUAACCGCUAAUGACAAUUCCGCGGCAAUCGCGCGUCAACGACAAGUGGUCCUCGACAGGCGAUUUCACGGUUAUUUAGCGCGUUUAAGGGGAGGCGAUUCGAAACAGGCGGUUCUUCUGAGAGGAUAUAUAAAAAUAUGUCCAUUUUAUGCGCUUUUUGCGCGAUUAUUUUCCGAAGCUAAGCGAUAGAUCGCUAGUUUGGCGUGUUAUUUUGCAUCUGCAGAGGCUACGACCUGUGAAUAAAUGGUUUUUGUUGAAACGA